ACCCCACUAUGCUUAGUCGUAAACUUAAAUAAUCCUAAACAAGAUUAUUCGCCAGAGUACUAUCGGCAACAGCCAAAACUCAAAGGACUUGGCGGUGCUUCAUAUCCUUCUAGAGGAGCCUGUUCUGUAAACGAUAAACCACGAUUAACCUCACCAAUCCUUGCUACUUCAGUCUAUAUACCGCCAUCUUCAGCAAACCCUAGAAAAGGAACGAAAGUAAGCACAACUACUACACGUAAAAACGUUAGGUCAAGGUGUAACCUAUGGAUUGGGAAGAAAUGGGCUACAUUUUCUAUAAUAAGAACACCCCUUAAACUCACACGAAAGUUUUUAUGAAACCUAAAAACUAAAGGAGGAUUUAGCAGUAAAUUAAGAAUAGAAUGCUUAAUUGAAUAAGGCCAUGAAGCACGCACACACCGCC
rnacentral:rRNA from 1 species